rnacentral:rRNA from 1 species
CCUACGGGUGGCAGCAGUGGGGAAUAUUGCACAAUGGGGGAAACCCUGAUGCAGCGACGCCGCGUGAGUGAGGAAGUAUUUCGGUAUGUAAAGCUCUAUCAGCAGGGAAGAAAAUGACGGUACCUGAGUAAGAAGCCCCGGCUAACUACGUGCCAGCAGCCGCGGUAAUACGUAGGGGGCAAGCGUUAUCCGGAUUUACUGGGUGUAAAGGGAGCGUAGACGGCAGGGCAAGUCAGAAGUGAAAGGCGGGGGCUCAACCUUAGGACUGCUCUGGAAACUGUAUGGCUGGAGUGCAGGAGAGGUAAGCGGAAUUCCUAGUGUAGCGGUGAAAUGCGUAGAUAUUAGGAGGAACACCAGUGGCGAAGGCGGCUUACUGGACUGUAACUGACGUUGAGGCUCGAAAGCGUGGGGAACAAACAGGAUUAGAUACCCUGGUAGUC